rnacentral:tRNA from 1 species
GGUGGCUCAGUGGUAGAGUGCUUGCCUUACAUGCAUGAGGCCCUAGGUUCAAUUCCAGCACCA